rnacentral:tRNA from 1 species
ACGAAUAUGGCUCAGUGGUAGAGCACAUGCAUAACAAGUAUGGGGCCCUGAGUUCAGGUAGUAGUA